CUACGGGCUGCACCAGUCGAGAAUCUUCCGCAAUGGGCGAAAGCCUGACGGAGCGACGCCGCGUGCCUGAAGAAGUCAUUAGAUGUAAAGGGCUUUUCUGGAAGAAGAAUCCUUCGGGAAGACAUUAUUCCAGGAAUAAGGGGUCUCUAAACUCGUGCCAGCAGAGGCGGUAAGACGAGUACCCCAAGCGUUAUCCGGAUUUACUGGGCGUGAAGCGUCUGUAGGCGGUCAGAAAAGUUUCUAGUUAAAAACCAGGGCUUAACCUUGGAAGUGCUAGGGAUACUCUCUGACUAGAGGGUGUCAGAGGCUGUUGGAACCGACGGUGUAGGGGUGAAAUCCGUUGAUAUCGUCGGGAACACCAAAAGCGAAGGCAUUCAGCUGGGGCAACCCUGACGCUGAGAGACGAAAGUGUGGGGAGCAAAAAGGAUUAGAUACCCUAGUAGUC
rnacentral:rRNA from 1 species